UAGGGAAUCUUUCGGCAAUGGGGGCAACCCUGACCGAGCAACGCCGCGUGAGUGAAGAAGGUUUUCGGAUCGUAAAGCUCUGUUGUAAGAGAAGAACGAGUGUGAGAGUGGAAAGUUCACACUGUGACGGUAACUUACCAGAAAGGGACGGCUAACUACGUGCCAGCAGCCGCGGUAAUACGUAGGUCCCGAGCGUUAUCCGGAUUUAUUGGGCGUAAAGCGAGCGCAGGCGGUUAGAUAAGUCUGAAGUUAAAGGCUGUGGCUUAACCAUAGUACGCUUUGGAAACUGUUUAACUUGAGUGCAGAAGGGGAGAGUGGAAUUCCAUGUGUAGCGGUGAAAUGCGUAGAUAUAUGGAGGAACACCGGUGGCGAAAGCGGCUCUCUGGUCUGUAACUGACGCUGAGGCUCGAAAGCGUGGGGAGCAAACAGGAUUAGAUACCCUGGUAGUCCACGCCGUAAACGAUGAGUGCUAGGUGUUGGGUCCUUUCCGGGACUCAGUGCCGCAGCUAACGCAUUAAGCACUCCGCCUGGGGAGUACNACNGCAAGGUUG
rnacentral:rRNA from 1 species